GAUGAACGCUGGCGGCAGGCUUAACACAUGCAAGUCGAACGCCCCGCAAGGGGAGUGGCAGACGGGUGAGUAACGCGUGGGAACAUACCCUUUUCUACGGAAUAGCUCUGGGAAACUGGAAUUAAUACCGUAUACGCCCUACGGGGGAAAGAUUUAUCGGGGAAGGAUUGGCCCGCGUUGGAUUAGCUAGUUGGUGGGGUAAAGGCCUACCAAGGCGACGAUCCAUAGCUGGUCUGAGAGGAUGAUCAGCCACAUUGGGACUGAGACACGGCCCAAACUCCUACGGGAGGCAGCAGUGGGGAAUAUUGGACAAUGGGCGCAAGCCUGAUCCAGCCAUGCCGCGUGAGUGAUGAAGGCCUUAGGGUUGUAAAGCUCUUUCACCGAUGAAGAUAAUGACGGUAGUCGGAGAAGAAGCCCCGGCUAACUUCGUG
rnacentral:rRNA from 1 species